CGAUGGCCACACUGUCUCCUCCUGAGACUCAGUGAAGUUGAAGUGUUUGUGAUGAUGCAAUCUCCCCGCGGCUAGACGGAAAGACCCCAUGAACCUUUACUGUAGCUUUGCAUUGGACUUUGAACCGAUCUGUGUAGGAUAGGCGGGAGCCUGUGAAACCACAACGCCAGUUGUGGCGGAGGCGUCCUUGAAAUACCGCCCUGAUUUGUUUGAGGUUCUAACCUGGGACAGUCAUCCUGUCCGGGGACCGUGCAUGGUAGGCAGUUUGACUGGGGCGGUCUCCUCCUAAAGGGUAACGGAGGAGUGCGAAGGUACGCUAGGUACGGUCGGAAAUCGUGCUGAUAGUGCAAUGGCAAAAGCGUGCUUGACUGCGAGACCCACAAGUCGAGCAGAUACGAAAGUAGGUCAUAGUGAUCCGGUGGCUCUGUAUGGAAGGGCCAUCGCUCAACGGAUAAAAGGUACUCUGGGGAUAACAGGCUGAUACCGCCCAAGAGUUCAUAUCGACGGCGGUGUUUGGCACCUCGAUGUCGGCUCAUCUCAUCCUGGGGCUGUAGCCGGUCCCAAGGGUAUGGCUGUUCGCCAUUUAAAGAGGUACGUGAGCUGGGUUUAAAACGUCGUGAGACAGUUUUGUCCCUAUCUGCCGUGGGCGCUGGAAGAUUGACGGGGGCUGCUCCUAGUACGAGAGGACCGGAGUGGACUCACCUCUGGUGUACCGGUUGUCACGCCAGUGGCAUCGCCGGGUAGCUAUGUGGGGAAGAGAUAACCGCUGAAAGCAUCUAAGCGGGAAACUUGCCUGAAGAUAAGUCUUCCUGGAGGCUAGACCUCCCUAAAGAGUCGUUCGAGACCAGGACGUUGAUAGGAUGGGUGUGUAAGUGCUGUGAGGCACUCAGCUAACCAUUACUAAUUGCUCGUGAAGCUUGAUCCU
rnacentral:rRNA from 1 species